AUGAAGUUAACAUACCUAACGUACCUAACAGAGUACAGGAGAAGAAAUGCAGCCGGAGAAGAGGAAAGAGAAGGAAUCAUACACACUACUCACUCCCAUCAACCAGCCAAAACGAGAUCCUUGACUACACAUUCCAGCAUCAGGAAGCUGCACAGAGGUUGGGUGAGCUUUAUCUUGUUCUUAUUAAAAUCACUAGGUCUGUUCUCCACAUUUGUCCAGUUUGGAAUGACAUCCUCUGUACUUUAAGGUUCCAUUCAGCCUCCAAUCAGAUAAUCUUCUGCCUGAAAGUGACCCAGGUCACUUACAGUCCACACAGCCUCAAAAAGGGUGAAGAUUAAAAAAAAAAAAAAAAAAAAAAGGGUGAAGAUUUUAGCCAUCUUUGGGAGUGAUGAGGGCUUGAAGCCAUAUCUUCUUGGCCCAGGAGGGACUAGGUA
rnacentral:lncRNA from 1 species